rnacentral:ncRNA from 1 species
ACGGCGGAAUCCGAAAAGCCUUUUACAGAGUAGGAA